AUUGAACGCUGGCGGCAUGCUAUACACAUGCAAGUCGAACGGUAACAGGGAGCUUGCUCCGCUGACGAGUGGCGAACGGGUGAGUAAUGCGUCGGAACGUGCCGAGUAGUGGGGGAUAACGCAUCGAAAGGUGUGCUAAUACCGCAUACGAACUGAGAUUGAAAGUGGGGGACCUUCGGGCCUCACGCUAUUCGAGCGGCCGACGUCUGAUUAGCUAGUUGGUGAGGUAAAGGCUCACCAAGGCGACGAUCAGUAGCGGGUCUGAGAGGAUGAUCCGCCACACUGGGACUGAGACACGGCCCAGACUCCUACGGGAGGCAGCAGUGGGGAAUUUUGGACAAUGGGCGCAAGCCUGAUCCAGCCAUGCCGCGUGUCUGAAGAAGGCCUUCGGGUUGUAAAGGACUUUUGUCCGGGAGCAAAUGCUGGUGGCUAACAUCCACCGGAGCUGAGAGUACCGGAAGAAUAAGCACCGGCUAACUACGUGCCAGCCGCCGCAGUAAUAC
rnacentral:rRNA from 1 species